rnacentral:rRNA from 1 species
UGGGGAAUCUUGGACAAUGGGCGCAAGCCUGAUCCAGCCAUGCCGCGUGGAUGAUGAAGGCCUUAGGGUUGUAAAAUCCUUUCGCCGAGGACGAUAAUGACGGUACUCGGAGAAGAAGCUCCGGCUAACUUCGUGCCAGCAGCCGCGGUAAUACGUAGGGACCAAGCGUUGUUCGGAUUUACUGGGCGUAAAGGGCGCGUAGGCGGCAAUUCAAGUCAUCUGUGAAAUCUCCGGGCUUAACUCGGAACGGUCAGAUGAUACUGCUUUGCUAGAGUGCAGAAGGGGCAAUCGGAAUUCUUGGUGUAGCGGUGAAAUGCGUAGGUAUCAAGAGGAACACCUGAGGUGAAGACGGGUUGCUGGGCUGACACUGACGCUGAGGCGCGAAAGCCAGGGGAGCAAACGGGAUUAGAUACCCUAGUAGUCCCUGAGCGGGCUGGCAAGGCGCAU